rnacentral:rRNA from 1 species
AUUGAACGCUGGCGGCAGGCCUAACACAUGCAAGUCGAACGGUAACAGGAAGCAGCUUGCUGCUUUGCUGACGAGUGGCGGACGGGUGAGUAAUGUCUGGGAAACUGCCUGAUGGAGGGGGAUAACUACUGGAAACGGUAGCUAAUACCGCAUAACGUCGCAAGACCAAAGAGGGGGACCUUCGGGCCUCUUGCCAUCGGAUGUGCCCAGAUGGGAUUAGCUAGUAGGUGGGGUAACGGCUCACCUAGGCGACGAUCCCUAGCUGGUCUGAGAGGAUGACCAGCAAAAGUGGGACUGAAACGCGGACCAGCCCCAAGCGGGAGGCAGCAGGGGGGAAUAUUGCAAGAUGGGCUCAAGGCUGAGACAUCAAUGCAGCGGGAAGGAAGAAGGCAUUCUGGUUAUAUAUUACUUUCGACGUGGAGGAAGGAAGAAAAGUUACCACCUUCGCUCAUAGAGGUUCCCCGAAGAGGAAGCAGAGACUAACCCGGUG